UACAGGGGGUGCAAACGUUGUUCGGAAUUACUGGGCGUAAAGCGCGCGUAGGCGGACCUGCAAGUCGGGGGUGAAAGCCCGAGGCUCAACCUCGGAACUGCCUUCGAUACUGCGGGUCUCGAGUCCGGGGGAGGUGAGUGGAAUUCCUAGUGUAGAGGUGAAAUUCGUAGAUAUCAAGCGGAACACCGGUGGCGAAGGCGGCCUUCUGGACAGUGACUGACGCUGAGACGCGAAAGCGUGGGGAGCAAACAGG
rnacentral:rRNA from 1 species